rnacentral:ncRNA from 1 species
UAGCGAACGUCCCAUAGCAGGUUGCGAUGGCCCCCACGGGUGUUGACGCAAUGUGAUUUCUGCCCAGUGCUCUGAAUGUCAACGUGAAAAAAUUUAAAAAAGCGCGGGUAAACGGCGAGAGUAACUAUGACUCUCUUAAGAGACAGUUGGUUUUUCGUUGAAUAAUACGUUGGUCAAUGCUGUUGCCUUUUCUGAUGACAUGGUCCUCAUUGCAGCUACGGUUGAAGGCUUGCAAGAGAGUAUCGA